rnacentral:rRNA from 1 species
UUACACAUGCAGUCGAGCGGGGAGAUGUAGCUUGCUACAUUUCCUAGCGGCGGACGGGUGAGUAAUGCUUAGGAAUCUGCCUAUUAGUGGGGGACAACGUUUCGAAAGGAACGCUAAUACCGCAUACGCCCUACGGGGGAAAGCAGGGGAUCUUCGGACCUUGCGCUAAUAGAUGAGCCUAAGUCAGAUUAGCUAGUUGGUGGGGUAAAGGCCUACCAAGGCGACGAUCUGUAGCGGGUCUGAGAGGAUGAUCCGCCACACUGGGACUGAGACACGGCCCAGACUCCUACGGGAGGCAGCAGUGGGGAAUAUUGGACAAUGGGGGGAACCCUGAUCCAGCCAUGCCGCGUGUGUGAAGAAGGCCUUUUGGUUGUAAAGCACUUUAAGCGAGGAGGAGGCUACUAGUACUAAUACUACUGGAUAGUGGACGUUACUCGCAGAAUAAGCACCGGCUAACUCUGUGCCAGCAGCCGCGGUAAUACAGAGGGUGCGAGCGUUAAUCGGAUUUACUGGGCGUAAAGCGUACGUAGGCGGCUUUUUAAGUCGGAUGUGAAAUCCCUGAGCUUAA